GAUGAAGAACGCAGCGAAAUACGAUAAUUAAUGUGAAUUGCAGAAUUCCGUGAAUCAUCGAGUCUUUGAACGCACAUUGCGCCUCAUGGCAUUCCGUGAGGCAUGCCCAUCUCAGCGUUAGAAAAUAUUCUCAAAUUUUAGUUUUGUGCUAAAAUUUGGAUCAUGUCAAAGAAGCUAUUACUAUUAUUGUGAUCGCUCUUUGGAAAUUGAUAGGUCUUUGAGUUGCUACUCAUAGAACGUGAUGAAUCUUUCUUCGUUCUAUUGUAAUUCACUCUGGUAGUCCUAAAACUUGUAUGCCUGUGGCAUAUCUUGUAAUUUGACCUGAGAUUGGGUAGGGAUACCCGCUGAACUUAAGCAUAUCAAUAACGGAGGA
rnacentral:misc_RNA from 1 species